rnacentral:rRNA from 1 species
CGUGCAGCCGGAAAUGCAAGUCAGAUGUGAAAUCCAUGGGCUUAACCCAUGAACUGCAUUUGAAACUGUAUUUCUUGAGUACUGGAGAGGCAAUCGGAAUUCCUAGUGUAGCGGUGAAAUGCGUAGAUAUUAGGAGGAACACCAGUGGCGAAGGCGGAUUGCUGGACAGUAACUGACGGUGAGGCGCGAAAGUGUGGGAGCAAACA